GAUGAAGAACGCAGCGAAAUGCGAAAAGUAAUGUGAAUUGCAGAAUUCAGUGAAUCAUCGAAUCUUUGAACGCACAUUGCGCCCGCUGGUACUCCGGCGGGCACGCCUGUCCGAGCGUCAUUUCAACCCUCAAGCCCUCCUUCGGGAUGGGCCUGGUGUUGGGGCUCGGCCGCCAUCUCCGGCGGCCGUCCCCUAAAUACAGUGGCGGUCACGUCGCGACUCCUUUGCGUAGUAGAAACACCUCGCUCCGGAUAGCAACGCGGUCCACGCCGUAAAAUCCCAAUUUUCAAUGGUUGACCUCGGAUCAGGUGGGAAUACCCGCUGAACUUAAGCAUAUCAAUAAGCGGAGGA
rnacentral:misc_RNA from 1 species